AACGAACGCUGGCGGCAUGCCUAACACAUGCAAGUCGAACGAGACCUUCGGGUCUAGUGGCGCACGGGUGCGUAACGCGUGGGAAUCUACCCUUGGGUUCGGAAUAACUCAGAGAAAUUUGAGCUAAUACCGGAUGAUGACGUAAGUCCAAAGAUUUAUCGCCCAAGGAUGAGCCCGCGUAGGAUUAGCUAGUUGGUGAGGUAAAGGCUCACCAAGGCGACGAUCCUUAGCUGGUCUGAGAGGAUGAUCAGCCACACUGGGACUGAGACACGGCCCAGACUCCUACGGGAGGCAGCAGUGGGGAAUAUUGGACAAUGGGCGAGAGCCUGAUCCAGCAAUGCCGCGUGAGUGAUGAAGGCCUUAAGGUUGUAAAGCUCUUUUACCCGGGAUGAUAAUGACAGUACCGGGAGAAUAAGCUCCGGCUAACUCCGUGCCAGCCGCCGCAGUAACAC
rnacentral:rRNA from 1 species